rnacentral:rRNA from 1 species
GCAUAUCAAUAGGCGGAGGAAAAGAAAAUAACAAUGAUUCCCCUAGUAACGGCGAGUGAAGAGGGAUAAGCUCAAAUUUAAAAUCUGUUGGGUUUUACCUAACCGAGUUGUAAUUUGAAGAAGCGUUUUCCGCGUCUUUGUUGGCCCAAAUCCUUUGGGAUAAGGUAUCAUGGAGGGUGAGAAUCCCGUAUGGCCGACAUCAAGACGCUCUACGAUACGCUUUCAAAGAGUCGAGUUGUUUGGGAUUGCAGCUCAAAAUGGGAGGUAAAUUUCUCCUAAGGCUAAAUAUUGGCGAGAGACCGAUAGCGAACAAGUACCGUGAGGGAAAGAUGAAAAGAACUUUGAAAAGAGAGUUAAAAAGUACGUGAAAUUGUUGAAAGGGAAACGAUUGAAGCCAGUCGUACCGACGAGAAAUCAACUCUUCGAAUGGGUAAUUGCGGGCGUAUGAGAGCUUCACGGUCUCAUCGUUUGCAAAUGCAUUGUUCUUUGGGUGUACUUUUUCGUAUGGUUUGUCAACGUCGGUUUCGAUUGCUAUAAAAUGAUCGGAGGAAUGUAGCUUCGACUUCGGUUGAAGUGUUAUAGCCUUUGGUAGAUGUAGUGAUUGGGACCGAGGAUUGCAACGAAUACCCUUUGGGCUAUCCGUCUGACCUCUGAAAGUUGCUUAGGUGCCGAAAGCGUGCUUACGGUUAUUUAAGCCAGCGGUCAAAAGGUUAGAACGUGAUUAAAUUCGUUAAGGAUGUUGACGUA